ensembl:lncRNA
GGAUUAACGACAAGCGCGAUGUAAAUAGUCUGAAAGCUGCUGGAAAAAACUCAGAGCGAAAGAGAAAAUAAGAUGCAGCACAUGAGAGAAGGAACACAUUUCUCACUGGUGGUGUCUCCCCUACUGGAGAAAUAGUUUCAUUGUCACAAAAAAUUAUCCAGACGAUUCCGCAACAGAUAACCCCAUUGCGCAACCCAUUACCCUGCAGACCAGCUGCAGUCACCGAAAUCGUCCCACAAAAAUGCGAAUGAUGACGCUGAAAGGACCGGUUCCUGCAGGCCUGCCGCCCCUCAUAAACGCGUCAGCGGUGGAGCAGCUCAGAGCCCGCGAAGAACAAAAGACAAAACAGGAUUAACGACAAGCGCGAUGUAAAUAGUCUGAAAGCUGCUGGAAAAACCUCAAAGCAAAAGCGAAAAAAAGAUGGAGCACCUGAGAGAAGGGACACAUUUCUCACUGGUGGUGUCCCCCCUACUGGAGAAAUAGUUUCAUUGUCACAAAAAAAUUAUCCAGACGAUUCUGCAACAGAUAACCCCAUCUCACAACCCAUUACCCUGCAGACCAGCUGCAGUCACCGACAUCGUCCCACAAAAAUGCGAAUGAUGACGCUGAAAGGACCGGUUCCUGCAGGCCUGCCGCGCCUCAUAAACGCGUCAGCGGCGGAGCAGCUCAGAGCCCGCGAAGAGGAAAAGACACAACAGUGAGUUCAGCGACAAUCUUCUUGAAUUAACCUACUACAAUUAGAGAAAGAAAAGAAUGUAAUUCAAACUGAAAAUGCCAAGUUACAGAGAGAGGUGCUUCUUUUACAAAAGGAAGUGUUACAGAUGCAAAAAUAAAAACUUACUACAGAACUACA